GCAUAUUUUUUGCAGCGGCAAGCUUUGAGGCGCGGUAGAAAUCAUAGCAGUGAUGAGCUAAAAUUUGUGACUUUGUUAGAAUACGGCUGUUAGUCUUAAAUAGUA